CUUGAAACACGGACCAAGGAGUCUAGCAUGUGCGCGAGUCAUUGGGACUUGCGAAACCUAAAGGCGAAAUGAAAGUGAAGGCGUGCCUUGCGCGCGCCGAGGGAGGAUGGGCCGUGCCUCGGCUCGGCCCCGCACUCCCGGGGCGUUUCGUUCUCAUCGCGAGAUGAGGCGCACCCAGAGCGUACACGCUGGGACCCGAAAGAUGGUGAACUAUGCCUGGUCAGGACGAAGUCAGGGGAAACCCUGAUGGAGGUCCGUAGCGAUUCUGACGUGCAAAUCGAUCGUCGGAACUGGGUAUAGGGGCGAAAGACUAAUCGAACCAUCUAGUAGCUGGUUCCCUCCGAAGUUUCCCUCAGGAUAGCUGGCGCUCGCUUUGCGAGUCUCAUCCGGUAAAGCGAAUGAUUAGAGGCAUUGGGGUCGAAACGGCCUCAACCUAUUCUCAAACUUUAAAUGGGUGAGAUCUCCGGCUUGCUUGAAACUUGAAGCCGCGAGAUAUCUAUAUUCGGAUCAGGGUGCCAAGUGGGCCAUUUUUGGUAAGCAGAACUGGCGCUGUGGGAUGAACCAAACGCCGAGUUAAAGCGCCCAAAUCGACGCUUAUGGGAUACCAUGAAAGGCGUUGGUAACUUAAGACAGCAGGACG
rnacentral:rRNA from 2 species